UACGGAGGUUGCAAGCGUUGUUCGGAAUUACUGGGCGUAAAGGGAGCGCAGGCGGCCAAAUCAGUCUGAAGUGAAAUCCCGGAGCUUAACUCCGGACGUGCUUUGGAUACUGUUUGGCUUGAGUUCGCGAGAGGUAAGCGGAAUUCCAGGUGUAGCGGUGAAAUGCGUAGAUAUCUGGAGGAACAUCGGUGGCGAAAGCGGCUUACUGGCGCGAUACUGACGCUGAGGCUCGAAAGCGUGGGGAGCGAACGGGAUUAGAUACCCCGGUAGUCCACGCCGUAAACGUUGUGCACUAGGUGUGGGAGGUAUCGACCCCUUCCGUGCCGCAGCUAACGCAUUAAGUGCACCGCCUGGGGAGUACGGUCGCAAGACUGAA
rnacentral:rRNA from 1 species